rnacentral:rRNA from 1 species
AACGAACGCUGGCGGCGUGCCUAACACAUGCAAGUCGAGCGCGAAAGGAGCAAUCCGGGUAGAGCGGCGCACGGGUGCGUAACACGUGGAUAAUCUGCCUCAGGGUUGAGGAUAACCUUCCGAAAGGUUGGCUAAUACUCGGUAAGCUUACGGUGACUUCGGUCGCUGUGAGAAAACUAGACCUCUAUUUAUAAGUUUAGGCCCAGAGAUGAGUCCGCGGCCCAUCAGCUAGUUGGCGGGGUAACGGCCCACCAAGGCUACGACGGGUAGCUGGUCGGAGAGGACGAUCAGCCACACUGGAACUGAGACACGGUCCAGACUCCUACGGGAGGCAGCAGUGGGGAAUUUUCCACAAUGGGCGAAAGCCUGAUGGAGCAACGCCGCGUGUGUGAUGAAGGUCUUCGGAUCGUAAAGCACUUUCGACUGGGACGAAAAACCUUUGGCUAACAUCCAGGGGCCUGACGGUACCAGGAGAAGAAGCACCGGCUAACUCUGUGCCAGCCGCCGCAGUAAUAC